rnacentral:rRNA from 1 species
GCUCAGAUUGAACGCUGGCGGCAGGCCUAACACAUGCAAGUCGAACGGUAGCACAGAGAGCUUGCUCUCGGGUGACGAGUGGCGGACGGGUGAGUAAUGUCUGGGAAACUGCCCGAUGGAGGGGGAUAACUACUGGAAACGGUAGCUAAUACCGCAUAACGUCUUCGGACCAAAGUGGGGGACCUUCGGGCCUCACACCAUCGGAUGUGCCCAGAUGGGAUUAGCUAGUAGGUGGGGUAAUGGCUCACCUAGGCGACGAUCCCUAGCUGGUCUGAGAGGAUGACCAGCCACACUGGAACUGAGACACGGUCCAGACUCCUACGGGAGGCAGCAGUGGGGAAUAUUGCACAAUGGGCGCAAGCCUGAUGCAGCCAUGCCGCGUGUAUGAAGAAGGCCUUCGGGUUGUAAAGUACUUUCAGCGGGGAGGAAGGCGAUAAGGUUAAUAACCUUGUCGAUUGACGUUACCCGCAGAAGAAGCACCGGCUAACUCCGUGCCAGCAGCCGCGGUAAUACGGAGGGUGCAAGCGUUAAUCGGAAUUACUGGGGCGUAAAGCGCACGCAGGCGGUCUGUCAAGUCGGAUGUGAAAUCCCCGGGCUUAACCUGGGAACUGCAUUCGAAACUGGCAGGCUAGAGUCUUGUAGAGGGGGGUAGAAUUCCAGGUGUAGCGGUGAAAUGCGUAGAGAUCUGGAGGAAUACCGGUGGCGAAGGCGGCCCCCUGGACAAAGACUGACGCUCAGGUGCGAAAGCGUGGGGGAGCAAACAGGAUUAGAUACCCUGGUAGUCCACGCCGUAAACGAUGUCGACUUGGAGGUUGUGCCCUUGAGGCGUGGCUUCCGGAGCUAACGCGUUAAGUCGACCGCCUGGGGAGUACGGCCGCAAGGUUAAAACUCAAAUGAAUUGACGGGGGCCCGCACAGGCGGUGGAGCAUGUGGUUUAAUUCGAUGCAACGCGAAGAACCUUACCUACUCUUGACAUCCAGAGAACUUAGCAGAGAUGCUUUGGUGCCUUCGGGAACUCUGAGACAGGUGCUGCAUGGCUGUCGUCAGCUCGUGUUGUGAAAUGUUGGGUUAAGUCCCGCAACGAGCGCAACCCUUAUCCUUUGUUGCCAGCGGUCUGGCCGGGAACUCAAAGGAGACUGCCAGUGAUAAACUGGAGGAAGGUGGGGAUGACGUCAAGUCAUCAUGGCCCUUACGAGUAGGGCUACACACGUGCUACAAUGGCGCAUACAAAGAGAAGCGACCUCGCGAGAGCAAGCGGACCUCAUAAAGUGCGUCGUAGUCCGGAUUGGAGUCUGCAACUCGACUCCAUGAAGUCGGAAUCGCUAGUAAUCGUAGAUCAGAAUGCUACGGUGAAUACGUUCCCGGGCCUUGUACACACCGC